CGGUGAAAUUAGGAAGUGAGGGACCUGCUUUCUAGUCCUGAUAAAAUGCAGUAUAGACGGGAACGGAAACGCGGUUAGUUAAAAUAGAAAAGCAUCUUACCCGCGGUGUACUUCAAAAAGCCAUGGGAAGAUGCAGUGAGAAGGUAGCCAUCUACAAGCCAGGAAGAGAAUUCUCAACAGGAACCAAAUCAGCCAGUACCUUGACCUUGACUUGCCAGCCUCCAGAACUGUGAGAAAAUAAACCUCCAUCCACACCAUACGCAAGAAAUAAAUUCAAAAUGGAUGAAAGACCUAAAUGUGAGACAUGAAACCAUUGAAGUCCUGGAGGAGAACACAAGCAGUCUCAUCUUUGACAUUCGGCCAUAGCCACUUCUUACUAAAUAUGUCUCCUGAGGCAAGAGAAACAAAAGCAAAAUUAAACUGUUGGGACUUCAGAGAAGCUUUCUUGGAUCACUCUGUCUAAAUAUCACUCAUCUGCAGUACUCUGCGUAGCAUGUAUCACCAACUGAUCAUAUUCACAGUUUAGUUUUUCCUUUAAUUGUCGGUUUCUUUCAUUAAAAUGUAU